AAAGGUCUCGCGAAUGAACGCGGCGGCGGAGACCGGAUCGCCAUUGGCGCCUGGGCCUUCCGGGUUCACGUAGAUCAGGCCCAUUUCGGUGGCGCUGAGCGGCGCCGGAAACUUGUCGAGAGUCCGGUGCGUCAGCCAGGCGGUUUCAGCGCCCCAGUUCACAUCGAGAUCCGGCUCCCAGACAUCCUCACGGCCAGCAGCGAAACCGAA
rnacentral:misc_RNA from 1 species